AUCCGAGGCACUUUCUCUUUCCAUCUGGGGCAUAGUGGGCAGCAAGUGUUGUAGGGGAGUAGCCUUUGAUCCUUUGUUACUGGGGCGUAGGGAAAUGGUUUUUUUUUUUUUCUUUUUUGAUCCAGCUUUAGGAAGUUAGCACAAAUCGGCUUUAGGUUCCCUGACCCCAGACCCAGGUGUUUCUUGAUCCAGCUUUAGGACGUUAGCACAAAUUAGCCUUAGGCUACCUGCCCCCAGACCCCGGUAUUUUCGUUUUUAUGAUCCAGCUUUAGGAAAUUAGCGGGAAUUGGCUCUCAAUUCCCUGCCUCCAGACCUUAUUCUCCUGCCUCAAGAUCUCUGAGAUAGCUGUGGUCGAAUGGAAGGGAGAAUUCAACCCUGCAAGUUAGGAGACCAUUGCUAGUACUGGUUCAGUCACUAAGGACCUGUGGUGGUAUUGCAGAAUGUCCCUUCACCAACGGUUCCUCUGUUUGUACGGUAAGUCCCAUCAUGUCUAUGGACUUCAGUUUCCAGACAUGAAACACAAGAGGCUUGGACGAGAUUAGAAAUCAAGAACUCGAAUGCGUAUGGUCAGAGCCACGAGAGUUUCCAUAAAGGAACACAACCAUGUGGACAACUUGAUUAUGCCCUACAAAACUAUAGGUAUUCUGACCUGCUCUGUACAGAGGGAUACUAGGGCUUUGGGACAUUAAGCGACGUGCUCAAGAUCAUUUUGAGUCACGCAAG
rnacentral:lncRNA from 10 species